rnacentral:rRNA from 1 species
UACGGAGGAUGCAAGCGUUCUCCGGAAUGAUUGGGCGUAAAGCGUCCGCAGGUGGCUAUGUAAGUCUGCUGUUAAAGAGUGAGGCUCAACCUCAUAAAAGCAGUGGAAACUACAUGGCUAGAGUGCGUUCGGGGCAGAGGGAAUUCCUGGUGUAGCGGUGAAAUGCGCAGAUAUCAGGAAGAACACCCGUGGCGAAGGCGGCUCUCUGGGACGGUACUGACGCUGAGACGCGAAAGCGUGGGGAGCGAACAGG